rnacentral:lncRNA from 1 species
UGGAUUGGGGGGAACUGGAGAAGUCUGGCUAGGGUUCACCAUUGUUGAGAUUCUGUAAGCUAGAGAGAGAAGUUUUGGGAAGGAGAAGAAGGUUCAAGAUUCAAAUUGGCAGGUAAAACCGUCAGAAUUGGUGAAGUUUACCUUUUAUACUGACGGUUACACGGGUUACGAGGCCGGCACAUUAAAUGUCAGUAAUGAUGAGAAUUCGAAUGGGACGUGUCUGGGUUGACC